rnacentral:lncRNA from 1 species
AGAAUAUCCAAAUGGCCAGUACACCUGCGAAAGGUGCUCACCAGGGAAAUGCCAAUUAAAACCACAAUGGGACAGGAGUCCAUAUCCACCAGGAGGGCUAAAAUUCAGGCAAAUUCACCCUCAGUGGCAAACACCGAGAAUGUGGAGCAACUCCCACAAAUCAUUAGUGAGAAACUCAAGCAGUAUGCGUCACCCUAAGCACACACCUCCCACACGACUCCCCACUGUCCAUCAAGUGCCGAGUGCCUAUGUCCACUAACGAGGCACACGAGGGCAUUCACAGCCCACACCUGAACCACUCAUGACCGCAGCUCAUGGCAGAAAGGGUGAGUAAAUGUGGCAUCCAAACCAAGGACCACGAUGCAACACACAAGACACACACAACCACGGCAUCCAAACCAAGGACCACAAUGGAACACACAAGAGACUCAAAAACCAUGGCAUCCAAACCAAGGACCAAAAUGCAAUACACAAGACACACACAACCAUACAGACAACUCAAAUGACAGACGUCAUCACAAUGCAAUACACACGACACACACAACCACGCAGACGACUCGAAUGACACAGGCGUCAUCACAAUGCAAUACACAGGACACAACCACACAGACGACUCAAAUGACACAGACGUCAUCACAAUGCAAUAUACAAGACACACACAACCACGCAGACAACUCGAAUGAUACAGUCGUCAUCACAAUGCAAUACACAAGACACACACAACCACAGCAUCCAAACCAAGGACCACAAUGCAAUACACAAGACACAUACAACCACGCAGACGACUCGAAUGACACAGACGUCAUCACAAUGCAAUACACAGGACACACACAACCACGCAGACGACUCGAAUGACAC